ACAUUUGAUAAUUAUGAAUAUUUAAGAUUAUAUUUUUUAGCUUUAUGAACUUGCAUAAUUUGCCCAUACAUGAUUGGAUUGCUAAGAUAUAGUUUGUUAUUAUGUUUUUACAGUAAAAAUUUACUUUCCAAAUGGUGCAUUAAAUCAUGUAAAAAUUUAUAUUUAAUCCGAUAAGGUGGUGUAUGGUUACUUAUUGAGCAAUGAAGCUCAUUCGCCUCUUUAUAUUUUUUUAGAUAAUUAAGGUCGCUAGGAGUGGGGAUGAAAAAAAUGAAAUAAAGGACAUGAGAAUAAGCUCCAAGCAUAGUAGCAAGUUUCUCAUAUAUUUAGUUUAUGACUAUAAAAAUUUUGGGUUAUGUAGCUUUGAAGAUGUGUUGGAUUUAGAUGCGCUCUAGCCGCUUCUUCUUAAUUAAUGAAUGAAAAAACUUUGGACCACUUUUAUUAUUGAAUAAAUUUUAUACAGGUUUAUUAUUGUUGGCUUCGUGUUAUUGUGGGCAAUACCCGUGAUAGCAUGGCCAAGUCAUGCUCUGGAUCUGGGGCGUAGCACUUUAUAACCCAACUUUCAUAGUGUGUUUGCUGUAUGUUGAAGAUAAAAGGUCGCUGAUAUAUCAUUUACUUUAAGAAAGGUCAUUAUUUUAUCUCCAAGCAUAUGUCGAGGCACUUUUUUCCUUAUCCUACU
rnacentral:lncRNA from 1 species